rnacentral:rRNA from 1 species
UACGGAGGGGACUAGCGUUGUUCGGAAUUACUGGGCGUAAAGGGCGCGUAGGCGGACAGUUUAGUCAGAGGUGAAAGCCCAGGGCUCAACCCUGGAAUUGCCUUUGAUACUGGCUGUCUUGAGUACGGGAGAGGUGUGUGGAACUCCGAGUGUAGAGGUGAAAUUCGUAGAUAUUCGGAAGAACACCAGUGGCGAAGGCGACACACUGGCCCGUUACUGACGCUGAGGCGCGAAAGCGUGGGGAGCAAACAGG